rnacentral:SRP_RNA from 1 species
GCCGGGCAUGGAGGCGCGUGCCUGUAAUCCCAGCUACUUGGGAGGCUGAGACAGGAGAAUCACUUGAACUCAGGAGGCAGAGGUUGCAGUGAGCUGAGAUCACGCCAUUGAAUUUCAGCCUGGGCAACAGAGUGAGACUCCAUCUCAA